GGGUUUACUGUGGUAACCCAUAUAUUAAAAUGGGAACUAUACAGAGUUUAGUGUUGACCUUGAGGAAGGAUGACAUGCACAUUUCUGAUACGUUCCAUUUUUUU